rnacentral:misc_RNA from 1 species
GGAUGAUGUUCUGGUGGGCGCCACGUCCAUCACGCCAUGCCUUGGCAGAGGGGCCAUCGACAGUCUUCUGUGUGGCGGUGUAGGCAUGAACUGUGGUCAUGAGAGCCUCCUCAAUACCAAAGUUGUCAUGAAUAACUUUAGCCAGAGGAGCCAAGCAGUUAGUGGUGCAGGAUGCAUUGCUGACAAUGGUCAUGCUGGAGGGGUCAUAUUUGUCCUGGUUGACUCCCAUCACA